rnacentral:rRNA from 1 species
GCACAAGCGGUGGAUGAUGUGGUUAAUCGAUGCAACGCGAAAACCUUACCCACCUUUGACAUGGCAGGAAUCCUGAAGAGAUUUGGGAGUGCUCGAAAGAGAACCUGCACACAGGUGCUGCAUGGCUGUCGUCAGCUCGUGUCGUGAGAUGUUGGGUUAAGUCCCGCAACGAGCGCAACCCUUGCCAUUAGUUGCUACGAAAGGGCACUCUAAUGAGACUGCCGGUGACAAACCGGAGGAAGGUGGGGAUGACGUCAAGUCCUCAUGGCCCUUAUGGGUAGGGCUUCACACGUCAUACAAUGGUCGGUACAGAGGGUUGCCAAGCCGCGAGGCGGAGCCAAUCCCACAAAGCCGAUCGUAGUCCGGAUUGUUCUCUGCAACUCGAGAGCAUGAAGUCGGAAUCGCUAGUAAUCGCAGGUCAGCAUACUGCGGUGAAUACGUUCCCGGGUCUU